UACGAAGGGGGCUAGCGUUGUUCGGAAUUACUGGGCGUAAAGCGUGCGCAGGCGGCUUCUCAAGUUAGAGGUGAAAGCCCGGGGCUCAACUCCGGAAUUGCCUUUAAGACUGCAUCGCUAGAAUUGUGGAGAGGUGAGUGGAAUUCCGAGUGUAGAGGUGAAAUUCGUAGAUAUUCGGAAGAACACCAGUGGCGAAGGCGACUCACUGGACACAUAUUGACGCUGAGGUGCGAAAGCGUGGGGAGCAAACAGG
rnacentral:rRNA from 1 species